GAAUCCCUGCCGUUCAGGUGACGGGGGAUGGUGCUCGAACCAAUGUUAUAAAAAAUGGGAGCCGAGCCGCUCACCGGUCGCCAGCGGCGAAAGCCCUGGUGAUUCAGCGGUGUGUGGACCUGGCACCCCCCUGGUCUACCAGGUUAGAGUAACUCGCCCGCACGGUCCGGGCGGGGGUUCC
rnacentral:other from 1 species